rnacentral:rRNA from 1 species
GAUGAACGCUGGCGGCGUGCCUAAUACAUGCAAGUCGAGCGAACGGACGAGAAGCUUGCUUCUCUGAUGUUAGCGGCGGACGGGUGAGUAACACGUGGAUAACCUACCUAUAAGACUGGGAUAACUUCGGGAAACCGGAGCUAAUACCGGAUAAUAUUUUGAACCGCAUGGUUCAAAAGUGAAAGACGGUCUUGCUGUCACUUAUAGAUGGAUCCGCGCUGCAUUAGCUAGUUGGUAAGGUAACGGCUUACCAAGGCAACUAUGCAUAGCCGACCUGAGAGGGUGAUCGGCCACACUGGAACUGAGACACGGUCCAGACUCCUACGGGAGGCAGCAGUAGGGAAUCUUCCGCAAUGGGCGAAAGCCUGACGGAGCAACGCCGCGUGAGUGAUGAAGGUCUUCGGAUCGUAAAACUCUGUUAUUAGGGAAGAACAUAUGUGUAAGUAACUGUGCACAUCUUGACGGUACCUAAUCAGAAAGCCACGGCUAACUACGUG